AGGGCGCAUGGCGGAUGCCUUGGCUCUCGGAGGCGAUGAAGGACGUGAUAAGCUGCGAUAAGCUUUGGGGAGGUGCAAAUGACCUUUGAUCCAGAGAUUUCCGAAUGGGACAACCCAAUAUCUUGAAGAGGUAUUAUCCAACGUUGUUGGAGGCUAACGCAGGGAACUGAAACAUCUUAGUACCUGCAGGAAAAGAAAAUAAACAAUGAUUCCCCCAGUAGUGGCGAGCGAACGGGGAACAGCCCAAACCAUCCAUGUUACGGCAUGGGUGGGGUUGUAGGACUACGCCGUUGCAUGAAGACAUCAGAGAAGAACUUUCUGGAAAGAAAGACCAUAGAGCAUGACAGUUGCGUAUUCGAAUGUUGUCUAAGCAUAGUAGUAUCCUGAGUAGCGCGGAGCACGAGGAAUUCUGCGUGAAUCUGCCGGGACCAUCCGGUAAGGCUAAAUACUCCCGAGAGACCGAUAGCGAACCAGUACUGUGAAGGAAAGGUGAAAAGCACUUCGAAUAGAAGAGUGAAAUAGUCCCUGAAACCGUGCGCCUACAAGCGGUCGGAGCUGCUUCAGCAGUGACGGCGUGCCUUUUGCAUAAUGAACCUACGAGUUACUUUUUCCGGCAAGGUUAAGGGUCUUGAGACCUGCAGCCGAAGCGAAAGCGAGUCUUAACAGGGCGUUCAGUCGGAAGGAGUAGACGCGAAACCAAGUGAUCUACCCUUGGGCAGGUUGAAGGAUGGGUAACACCAUCUGGAGGACCGAACCAAUAAGCGUUGAAAAGCUUCUGGAUGACCUGAGGGUGGGGGUGAAAGGCUAAUCAAACUUGGAGAUAGCUCGUACUCCCCGAAAUGCAUUUAGGUGCAGCCUUGACUUAUACUGACAUGAGGUAGAGCGACUGAUAAGAUGCGAGGGCUUCACCGCCUAUCAAGUCUUGACAAACUCCGAAUGCGUGUCAGUUCUAUGUCAGGAGUGAGGGCAUGGGUGCUAAGGUCCAUGUCCUAAAGGAGAACAAUCCGGACCAACAGCUAAGGUCCCGAAAUGAAUACUAAGUUGAACUAACGAAGUCAGAUUGCUAAGACAGCUAGGAUGUUGGCUUGGAAGCAGCCAUUCAUUUAAAGAGUGCGUAACAGCUCACUAGUCGAGGAGUCGGGCGUGGAUAAUAAUCGGGUAUUAAGUUGUCUACCGAAGCAGUGGGAUCAUUAAUAUGAUCGGUAGGGGAGCAUUCCAGUCAGCGUCGAAGGCGUACCGUGAGGUAUUCUGGAGCGUCUGGAAAAGCAAAUGUAGGUAUAAGUAACGAUAAAGGGGGCGGGAAACCCCCUCGCCGAAAGACUAAGGUUUCCUGAUCAACGCUAAUCGGAUCAGGGUCAGUCGGGUCCUAAGGCUCAGCCGAACGGCGAUGCCGAUGGCAGAAACGGUUAAUAUUCCGUUACUACCUUCAGGAGUGACGUGGAGACGCAGUAGUGACAGUGCCGCCAUCUGACGGAAUAGAUGGUUGAAGGGUGUAGGAGUCGAUCAUGGCAGGCAAAUCCACCAUGAGAUCCGAACCUGACAGUAUGCCGCGUCCUUCGGGACAAGGCAAUAGUGCGCGUAAGCAUGCUGCCGAGAAAAUCCGCUAAACUUAAUCCUGCAGGUACCCGUACCGCAAACGGACACACGUAGUCGGGAUGAAUAUUCUAAGGCGCUUGAGUGAUUCACGGUUAAGGAACUAGGCAAACUGACCCUGUAACUUCGGGAUAAAGGGUCCCUACCCAGAGAUGGGAGGGCGCAGAGAAUAGGUCCAGGCAACUGUUUAACAAAAACACAGGGCUGUGCCAAUAUGAAAGUAGACGUAUACAGCCUGACACCUGCCCGGUGCUGGAAGGUUAAGAGGAGAUGUCAUCGCAAGAGAAGCAUUGAAUUGAAGCCCCAGUAAACGGCGGCCGUAACUAUAACGGUCCUAAGGUAGCGAAAUUCCUUGUCGGGUAAGUUCCGACCUGCACGAAUGGUGUAAUGAUCUGGACGCUGUCUCAACCGUGAGCUCAGUGAAAUUGUAGUAUCGGUGAAGAUGCCGAUUACCCGCGAUGGGACGAAAAGACCCCGUGAACCUUUACUAUAGCUUAUCAUUGAAUCUGGGCACGUGAUGUGUAGGAUAGGUCGGAGGCUUUGAAGCAGGUACGCCAGUAUUUGUGGAGCCGCUGUUGAAAUACGACCCUUUAUUUGUUUGGAUUCUAACCCGUGGAACGGGGACAUUGAUUGGUGGGUAGUUUGACUGGGGUGGUCGCCUCCAAAAGCGUAACGGAGGCUUCUAAAGGUGCCCUCACGACGAUUGGUAACCGUCGGUAGAGUGUAAUGGCAUAAGGGCGCUUGACUGGGAGACUUACAAGUCGAUCAGGUAGGAAACUAGAGCAUAGUGAUCCGGUGUUUCCGUAUGGAAGGGACAUCGCUCAAAGGAUAAAAGGUACUCCGGGGAUAACAGGCUGAUCCCUCCCAAGAGCUCAUAUCGACGGAGGGGUUUGGCACCUCGAUGUCGGCUCGUCACAUCCUGGGGCUGGAGAAGGUCCCAAGGGUUGGGCUGUUCGCCCAUUAAAGUGGCACGCGAGCUGGGUUCAGAACGUCGUGAGACAGUUCGGUCUCUAUCUAUCGUGGGCG
rnacentral:rRNA from 1 species